rnacentral:miRNA from 1 species
GAUGAAAAUGAUUAUGUUGGA